rnacentral:rRNA from 1 species
GUGGGGAAUCUUGCGCAAUGGGCGAAAGCCUGACGCAGCGACGCCGCGUGCGGGAAGAAGGCCUUCGGGUUGUAAACCGCUUUCAGGGGGGACGAAGCCACUCGGGUGAAUAGCCCAGAGGGUGACGGUACUCCCAGAAGAAGCCCCGGCUAACUACGUGCCAGCAGCCGCGGUAAUACGUAGGGGGCAAGCGUUGUCCGGAUUUAUUGGGCGUAAAGAGCGUGUAGGCGGCCAGAUAGGUCCGCUGUGAAAACUCGAGGCUCAACCUCGAGCUGUCGGUGGAAACCAUCUGGCUAGAGUCCGGAAGAGGAGAGUGGAAUUCCCGGUGUAGCGGUGAAAUGCGCAGAUAUCGGGAAGAACACCCGUGGCGAAGGCGGCUCUCUGGGACGGUACUGACGCUGAGACGCGAAAGCGUGGGGAGCGAACAGGAUUAGAAACCCCAGUAGUCC